GGUAAGAUGGCCGAGCGGUCUAAGGCGCCAGGUUAAGGUUACCUUAACAAGUAAAUUCCUGGUCCAGGAAACUGGGCGUGAGUUCGAAUCUCACUCUUAUCA
rfam:Pseudallescheria apiosperma strain IHEM 14462 SEQ_SAPIO_0143, whole genome shotgun sequence.